rnacentral:lncRNA from 1 species
CUGAAUUCAUAUGGUAAUUUUGAACUUUUAACUUUGAUUGUAAUGCUUAUUGUAAUAUUCUUUUGCUAGUUGUUUUAAUAUGAAUAUUUUUUUAACAUAUAUUCUAGGUAUAAUACAUCUUGGGUUCUUAGGUACAUAUAUAAAUUGUUUUCCAUUAAUUGUUCUAUUAGUUUUAUAUCGUUUAUAGCUUCUGUCCAGUAUUGUAAAUAUUUAUAAUUCAUUUCUUAAUCUGAAUAUUCCAUUUCUAAAUCAUAUAAUUCUAUUCUUUCAGUAUCUAGAUAUAGAUCUUGUAAAUCUAUUUCAUACCAUGUUUGGUUUUCUAGUUCCAUUUAAUUAAAUAUCUUUUUCCAUAUUAUUUCUCUUAAUUCGAUAAUUUUUAUAUCUUUGAGUACAUAUAAAAUUAAUGUUUCGUAGCUUCUUAUCAUUUCAUCAUGUAUAAAUGUAUUCAUGUUCUUGUUAUUCACAGUUUUUAUAAAUUAUUCCUCCCUAUCAUAUCAUGACUGAAUAGGAUUAUAUUAGAUCAUUAUGAACUAGAUUAUUCGCUUAUCAUGUUCUCCUGUCACUAUUAGCAUCGUACUUUAGCAGAUACAUUCUUCCUAAACAGCGCCUUAACUGUGUUUACUCCCCUAUCACGGCUUCUCUUGCCUUUCUGAUUUCAACUUUAGGAUGACAUAGUUAUGAAAGGUUUCUCGCUUUUCCUGUUUGCUAAUAAACUAGAAAGCAUGAUUUUGUAUAAUUCUAAUACAUAAUAACUAGCAUAAACUUAUUCAAUCAUAUUUAUGAUAUUCAGGAAUAUAUGAAUUUAGUUCUGCAUAUUUAAUAAACAAUAUACCUUUGCCUCUUGCUUCUCCAUGAUAUCUGAAUUAUCUAGUUGCUCCAUUAGGUUUCUAAAAUGCAAAUAUAUUUAAGAGUGUUUUUACAAGUGAGCUUGCUUCGUA